UACGUAGGGGGCAAGCGUUGUCCGGAUUUAUUGGGCGUAAAGAGCGUGUAGGCGGUUUGGCAGGUCCGUUGUGAAAACUCGAGGCUCAACCUCGAGACGGCGAUGGAAACCAUCAGACUAGAGUCCGGAAGAGGAGAGUGGAAUUCCUGGUGUAGCGGUGAAAUGCGCAGAUAUCAGGAAGAACACCCGUGGCUAAGGCGGCUCUCUAGUACGGUACUGACGCUGAGACGCGAAAGCGUGGGGAGCGAACAGG
rnacentral:rRNA from 1 species